AUGAACGCUGGCGGCGUGCCUAAUCCAUGCAAGUCGCGCGAACAGACGAGGAGCUUGCUCCUCUGACGUUAGCGGCGGCCGGGUGAGUAACCCGUGGAUAACCUACCUAUAAGACUGGGAUAACUUCGGGAAACCGGAGCUAAUACCGGAUAAUAUAUUGAACCGCAUGGUUCAAUAGUGAAAGACGGUUUUGCUGUCACUUAUAGAUGGAUCCGCGCCACAUUAGCUAGUUGGUAAGGUAACGGCUUACCAAGGCAACGAUGCGUAGCCGACCUGAGAGGGUGAUCGGCCACACUGGAACUGAGACACGGUCCAGACUCCUACGGGAGGCAGCAGUAGGGAAUCUUCCGCAAUGGGCGAAAGCCUGACGGAGCAACGCCGCGUGAGUGAUGAAGGUCUUCGGAUCGUAAAACUCUGUUAUUAGGGAAGAACAAAUGUGUAAGUAACUAUGCACGUCUUGACGGUACCUAAUCAGAAAGCCACGGCUAACUACGUG
rnacentral:rRNA from 1 species